UUCUUGAAGCAUUGUCUGCUGAACAUGUAUAAUGAGAUUUUGAAACAUGUUUUGUUUUUUUCAUGUACCAAGCACAUUCCCGCUUACAGACACUCGACAGUACAGAUGAGGACAGGCUUAUAGAUGAAAAUAAAUGAAGUAUGCUUACAAGGAGACAAACAAUGCCAAAUCCCUGGAGAGCCAUGGGGCGUUCAAGGCAGUUCAAGGACUGGUGCUGAGUUUCCUAGUUGAUUUGCAGCAUCUUUUCUUUGAACUAGCAAAAAAUAUGAUGCUGGCAUGCAAAUUGCUCAAUGUAACCUCUUAACACCAUCGUGUUGAAUUGUUGUACAUAAGUGCGUAAACUGAAUUGCAUCUCAUUUUAUGCUGUGUGAAUGUUUGCAGAUCCUGUAACUGUAAAUUGAUGUUUGUAAAGCAUCUCUGGAAUAAAUGUGGCUGAAAAACAACAAUUGAACUCUGUAA